GCUUCCGGUGCUCAGUGGCUAGCCGAAUAGCCGUGUUUGGGACCUGGGCUCGGGCUUCUUGCGUCCCCGCUAAGAACAUGUCACGGGGCCGAAUCGUCCGUAUUCUCUCAGCUUCAAGCUCCUCUACUUUUCAACCAGGUCACUAGCCCUUGACUCCUCUUAUCAAACUUCCGGAACUGCCACCCCACCAGUGACUCCACAGGCACCAGGGCAUGCAACAGGGCUGGGACAGGAAGGCUCUCUUCUUCACCUCAAGCCUGCUGGGCUAACACUUGCGAUUUUUACUAGAGUUAACUUUGUAAUGUAUGUCUCUGACUCUAGAAUUUCAAGAGAAGUUCCACUUAGUGACUCCUAAGUGGAAGUUCUAAGAUGGCUUCCCAGUGAGGUGAUGAAGAGGUUUGAGCUUUAGAGUGCGGUUGCAAAGCUCUUCUCUGACCUGAACAAUGGCUGUAGCUGUGGACCAACAAAUCCAGACUCCUUCAGUACAAGAUCUCCAAAUAGUUAAACUGGAAGAAGAUUCCCACUGGGAGCAGGAAAUUUCCCUUCAAGGGAAUUACCCUGGACCAGAGACAUCCUGCCAGAGCUUUUGGCAUUUCCGUUACCAAGAAGCAUCACGACCCCGAGAGGCCCUCCUCCAGCUCCAGAAGCUCUGUUGUCAGUGGCUAAGGCCAGAGAAGUGUACAAAAGAGCAGAUCCUGGAGUUGCUGGUCCUAGAACAGUUCCCGACUGUCCUUCUCCAGGAGAUCCAGAUCUGGGUCAGACAGCAGCAUCCGGAGAGUGGAGAGGAGGCAGUGGCCCUGGUGGAAGACUUGCAGAAAGAACCUGGAAGACAGAGGCUGGAGGUGAGCUAUAAAAACAUA
ensembl:lncRNA novel transcript